rnacentral:lncRNA from 1 species
GAAGGCUUCUGGUUUAAGAAGUUUGUCGCGAAACUUGAGAUUAUGACAUCAGAUGCCAUACUACUUUACUGCGAAAAUAGUGGAGCCAUAGCAUUUGCUAAGGAGUUGAGGUCUCAUCAAAAAUCAAAGCACAUCGAGUGACAGUAUCAUAUCAUACACGAUGAAUAUAUAAAUUUGGGUCUCAAUGAGCCCUUAUAGUAGAUGUUGGCGAUAGUUGGUCCACUGU